rnacentral:rRNA from 1 species
AUUGAACGCUGGCGGCAGGCCUAACACAUGCAAGUCGAGCGGAUGAAGGGAGCUUGCUCCUGGAUUCAGCGGCGGACGGGUGAGUAAUGCCUAGGAAUCUGCCUGGUAGUGGGGGAUAACGUCCGGAAACGGGCGCUAAUACCGCAUACGUCCUGAGGUAGAAAGGGGGGGAUCUUCGGACCUCACGCUAUCAGAUGAGCCUAGGUCGGAUUAGCUAGUUGGUGGGGUAAAGGCCUACCAAGGCGACGAUCCGUAACUGGUCUGAGAGGAUGAUCAGUCACCCUGGAACUGAGCGACGGUCCAGACUCCUACGGGAGGCAGCAGUCGGGAAUAUUGGACCAUGGGCGCAGACCUGAUCCAGCCAUGCCGCGUGUGUGAAGAAGGUCUUCGGAUGGUAAAGCACUUUAAGUUGGGAGGAAGGGCAGUAAGUUAAUACCUUGCUAUUUUGACGUUACCAACAGAAUAAGCGCCGGCUAACUUCGUG